GAGCCUCACCGUGUGAACACUAACCAUGGCUGAAGGAGGAGAAGGCGAGGAUGAAAUCCAGUUCUUGCGUACUGUUUAGCUUCAUCUCCCCCUCCUUAAACAUCCGUACCCCGAGCUGCCCACCUGCAGCCGCCUGGUUAAACUGGUCAAGGCUGAGGUGCCUUCUGGCAGCCACGCUCAAAAUAUUCUUCUGCCUAUGAAUCUGUUAAAAUCUGUUUACAUUCAAACUUGCAUGUGUGAGAUGACAUUCCCACAAUCACAAUCAAAGAAUGUCUUGAUUUAGACAUUUGGAGUGACUUUUAUUUUUAGUGCAUGUUGUUUUUAGGAUUGCCAUGUGCUUGAAUUGUUUAC
ensembl:lncRNA